GUCGAACGAAGUAGCAAUACUUAGUGGCAGACGGGUGAGUAACAUGUAGGUAUCUACCCUUUGGCCUGGAAUAACACGAGGAAACUUGUGCUAAUACCGGAUAAGUCUUUACGGAGAAAGCUUUAUGCACCAUUGGAUGAGCCUGCACUUGAUUAGUUUGUUGGUAGGGUAAUGGCCUACCAAGACUGUGAUCAAUAGCUGAUUUGAGAGGAUGAUCAGCCACAUUGGGACUGAGACACGGCCCAAACUCCUACGGGAGGCAGCAGUGGGGAAUCAUGCACAAUGGAGGAAACUCUGAUGCAGCGAUGCCGCGUGAGUGAAGAAGGCCCUUGGGUUGUAAAGCUCUUUCGUCGGGGAAGAAAAUGACUGUACCCGAAUAAGAAGGUCCGGCUAACUUCGUGCCAGCAGCCGCGGUAAUACGAAGGGACCUAGCGUAGUUCGGAAUUACUGGGCUUAAAGAGUUCGUAGGUGGUUGAAAAAGUUGGUGGUGAAAUCCCAGAGCUUAACUCUGGAACUGCCAUCAAAACUUUUCAGCUAGAGUUUGAUAGAGGAAAGCAGAAUUUCUAGUGUAGAGGUGAAAUUCGUAGAUAUUAGAAAGAAUACCAAUUGCGAAGGCAGCUUUCUGGAUCAUUACUGACACUGAGGAACGAAAGCAUGAGUAGCGAAGAGGAUUAGUUACCCUCGUAGUCCAUGCCGUANACGAUGUGUGUUAGACGUUGGAAAUUUAUUUUCAGUGUCGCAGCGAAAGCGAUAAACACACCGCCCUGGGGAGUACGACCGCAAGGUUAAAACU
rnacentral:rRNA from 1 species